AUCUCCAACUCAAUCAUUUGGUAACAGUCCACUUUUAAGUAAUUGCCAAAAAUCUCAACACCCAGAUUUUUGAACAUUUGGUCCUUCGAGCCGGAUGGUUGAGUUGGAAUAAUCAUUCAUUCAUAUCACAUUCAUCUCAAAAAGGUCAUGUCUCAAAAGUCGGGAAGAUCUUCUCCAUCUCCAAAAGAGGAUGACGCUCAACUCCAGGUCCCUCCUACUCGAUCAUCCAGAUCUUCCACAUCUUCGCAGCCUGAUGUGGGACCUCAAACUCGCUCGGCUGGUCUUCCCACCAACCUCAAAUUGAAAGUCGCUACUCAAAUGAGUAGACUACAACUCAUGAAGGACAUCUUCUCCAAGCUUUCCAACGUCUCAACAUGGACUGUGCAAGACUUGUCCCACACUCAAGAACAGCUGCAAGACCUUCAUAAGAACUUCUCAAAGACUCACUCGUAUUUUGAGUCAGCGUGGCCUGAGUCUUGUCUCGACCACGAAUACUUCGCAUCCUCAGUCUUCUUCGAGGAAUACUCUCUAUUCCAAUCAGCCAUAUCGAAAUUAAUCCAACUCAAUAUGUCACUCAAUCCUGUGGAUUCACAGCCAUCCACUUCUGCUCAAGCCCCUCAGUCUUCUCAAACUCGUCCUCGAUUGCCUGACAUCUCAAUUCCCACCUUCUCAGGCGACUUCUCAAAAUGGCCUGCAUUCCGAGACCUUUUUCAAUCACUCGUGAUCAAUAGCACCUCAAUUUCUGACAUUGAAAGGUUACAUUACCUUCGAACAUGUCUCUCUCAAGAACCUCUCGACACCAUCUCUAGUCUUCCCUUAACGGAAGUCUCGUUCCCCAUAGCUUGGAAGAAGCUUAUGGAUAAAUAUGAAAAUAAAAGGCUGCUCCUCUCUUCUCAAUACUCAAAACUUCUCUCCUUCUCAUUGGCGAAUCAGAAAAAUUCUACCGCCUCAUCUCUUCGUCAAUUUAUUGACAGCAUCGUCAAUCCUCUCCAAAGUUUGAAAGCUCUAGGUGAAGAUCUAGAGCAGAACAAUAAUCUUUUGGUGUUUCAUAUCAUCAACCGUAUGGAUCACGCCUCUCGAACACAUUGGGAAACUCUCAUCUCCUCUAAUAACGAAUUUCCCUCCUUCGCUCAGUUGAUGGAGUUCCUCCAAUCUCGCUCCAGAGCUCUAGAAUGGACUGAGUCCAACCAGAGACAGUCACCUCAAGAAUCAUCUCGCUCUCGCACAACAGUGCAUACAAUUUCUCAAAAGGCUACAGCUCAAACUAAACCUUCUCCAUCACUCACCUCAAGCAAACCGGCCUCCUCGAACACUCCAAUCUCAAAAGUCUCUUCUAUGCCCAACUACACCUGCGAUGAUUGUGGACACGACCACUUUAUUGCAGAUUGCCCUCGCUUCUCCAAACGCUCACCUCAAGAAAAAGCUGAUGUAGUAUUACAUCGCAUCCUCUGCUCCAACUGCCUCGGUAGACAUCAUCGCCACUCUUGCAGAACGACAAAGAUCUGCAAAAUCUGUGGAAGUCGUCAUCACACUCUUUUACAUGAUGCUCCUCUCAGCAGUAAACCACACUGCAAAGGUAAUACUACAUCAGAGUUCCACCGGUACCCCCUCGAGUGCUUCCACAAUACGCUCUCACAUCUCAAAAAUCUGCUCAAAGGGAGCUACCUCAACCACGACUCAACACUCUCCUCGCCACUGCCAUCGCCCAUCUCAUCACCUCAACAGGAUCACACACGGUUCGACUACUCAUCGACAGUGGAUCCGAGCUGACCUUCAUCUCUCAAGAUCUAGCCAGAAAACUCAACAUCUCUAGAAGGAAGUCGCAUGUUGUAAUUGUGGGAAUUCAUGGAAAGACUUCUAAGACACAAGGAUCUCUCGCCCUCACUCUCAAGUCGACGUAUGACCAUCAAACCAUAAAUAUUGAUGCUCACCUUCUCUCAUCAUCUUUCUCUAAUUUGCCUUCCUUCUAUACAUGUUUUCAGCAAUCUCUACAUCUCCAGCAUCUCAAGUUAGCUGAUCCAGAAUACCACAUCUCAAGAGCCAUCGACAUCAUUUUGGGUGCUGAUGUAUAUGGCUCAGUUGUUCUUCCUCAGAUGAAAAAAGGCCCUCCAUCAUCUCCAAUCGCGCAACUCUCAAUCUUCGGCUGGCUAAUCCUAGGACCUGUGUGUCAAGAACAGGAACGCCUUCCAAUUCAAUCUCCAAUGUUUCACACCAUCUCACAACAGUCACAUACGGAACUAGAUCAGCUCAAUUUUUGGCAAUCAGAGUUCUUCUCCAACUUCUCAAGAUGAGGGUCACAACUUUCCACUAGCCAUUCCUCCAUCAACUUCUCGAAAUUGCCAAACAACUCCAGAACCUUUGCAUGGCGGCCGGCCUUCCGCUAGCAAAAUGGCAGUCAAACGUCUCAAGUCUCUCACACGUCGUUCAAGAGGAAGAAUCAACACCCACUCCAAUCUCAUUCAAUGAAGGUUCUCACUCAACUAAAGUGUUAGGUCUAAUCUGGUACCCUCAAGAAGACUAUUUCACUUUUAAAGUCAGCUCCAAUCUAUCUGGGUCUUUGAUCACCAAGCGAUCAGUUCUAUCUCAUAUUGCUAAAAUAUUUGAUCCACUCGGUUUAGUCUCCCCUGUUACGAUUAGGGCUAAAAUAUUGUUGCAGGAAUUAUGGCUCCGAAAGUUAUCAUGGGACGAACCUCUACCUCAACUACUCCAACAGAAAUGGUACGACAUCAGUGAAGAUCUCUCCAGGCUGGCCAGCAUCACAAUUCCAAGAUGGAUUAACACUCAAGAGGGUUCUUUCAUUCAACUCCACGGCUUCUCUGAUGCAUCUCAACUCGCCAUUUCAGCCGUUCUCUACCUUCUCGUUCGAACUCCGUCCAAGGAAUGCAAAGUUACAAUGCUUUGCUCCAAAACCAAAGUAUCGCCUUUAAAACCACUCACAAUCCCGAGACUCGAAUUAUCAGCUGCUCUUCUUCUCUUUCGACUCGUUAAUUAUGCGCAUAAUGUUUUAGCUCUCAACAUUCACUCAACCACUCUAUGGACGGACUCCUCAAUCACUCUAGCUUGGAUCAACACUCACCCUUCACGUUGGAAGGACUUUGUACGGAACAGAGUUGCAACAAUCCAAGAUCUAACUCCAAGGGCCCAUUGGAGGUAUAUUUCCGGCAAAGACAAUCCUGCCGACUGUGCAUCACGAGGGUUAACUUCAUCUCAACUUCGCAACCACUCGCUAUGGUGGACGGGACCAUCAUGGCUUUCCAAGUCAGAAGAUUCAUGGCCAAAUCGUCAGCCGGCACCGACAACCGACCAUGAAUCAGAAGCAAGACCAGCCAUCUCCAUACUCACCUCCACUACGUCAGACUACUCAUGGGAUCUCAUCUACAGAUGAAACUCACCAAACAACUCUACAUGUACAAGGCACUGUGGCACCGCUCUCAACAACUCAUGGCACAACUACCCACAUCUCAAGUGCAGCCAUCUCAUCCAUUCCUCCACACUCUGAGGAUUGAAAGCAGUCUUCUCGCUCCAGUUAUGGGUGGAUUGAGUAGCUCAGACACUGGAGUGAUGGAUUGCCUCAACUUCCUCACAAUGGAUAAUUUACGAAGACCUACUCGAUUAUAAUCAACUACAUUAAUUAUGGCGGCCGGAAUGUUAAAAAUUGGAGUAAUUUUUAACCCAACUCUAUCAGCUGGAUGCACAUCUCUAUCAUCUCAGUGACUGCGUUUAUCGUUACAUGCUUCUGUGAACGUAACCUUAAAAUCGCUGUCAAUCAGCUGUUAAAAAAAAACCGGUGGAACCUGUUGAAUCUGCUCAAUUUAUUUCAUUCUCUUUAGAUUCUUCGUUCGCUCAAGUGAAUUGGAACUUGGUGUGAAUUAUUAUCGAGGUUUUAGUGCACUCUUAUUCUACAUUUAUUCCACUCAAAUUAUAAUAAUAUUAAUUCAGAAUUAUUAUAGGAUUAACAUCUCAAAAAGGUACAGUACUUUUUUCACUCAACAAAAAAUG